GACGUAGGGGGCCAGCGUUGUUCGGAAUUACUGGGUGUAAAGGGUUCGUAGGCGGUGUAGCAAGUCGGGAGUGAAAUCUCUGGGCUUAACCCAGAGGCUGCUUCCGAAACUGCUGUGCUUGAGUGUGGGAGAGGCGCGUGGAAUUGCAGGUGUAGCGGUGAAAUGCGUAGAGAUGUGGAGGAACACCAGUGGCGAAGGCGGCUUUCUGGUCUGUAACUGACGCUGAGGAGCGAAAGCGUGGGGAGCGAACAGG
rnacentral:rRNA from 1 species